rnacentral:rRNA from 1 species
GAUGAACGCUGGCGGCGUGCCUAAUACAUGCAAGUCGAGCGAACAGACGAGGAUCUUGCUCCUCUGACGUUAGCGGCGGACGGGUGAGUAACACGUGGAUAACCUCCCUAUAAGACUGGGAUAACUUCGGGAAACCAGAGCUAAUACCGGAUAAUAUAUUGAACCGCAUGGUUCAAUAGUGAAAGACGGUUUUGCUGUCACUUAUAGAUGGAUCCGCGCCGCAUUAGCUAGUUGGUAAGGUAACGGCUUACCAAGGCGACGAUGCGUAGCCGACCUGAGAGGGUGAUCGGCCACACUGGAACUGAGACACGGUCCAGACUCCUGAGGGAGGCAGCAGUAGGGAAUCUUCCGCAAUGGGCGAAAGCCUGACGGAGCAACGCCGCGUGAGUGAUGAAGGUCUUCGGAUCGUAAAACUCUGUUAUUAGGGAAGAACAAAUGUGUAAGGAACUAUGCACGUCUUGACGGUACCUAAUCAGAAAGCCACGGCUAACUACGUG